rnacentral:rRNA from 1 species
GAUGAACGCUGGCGGCGUGCCUAGUACAUGCAAGUCGAGCGAGCAGACGAGGAGCUUGCUCCUCUGACGUUAGCGGCGGACGGGUGAGUAACACGUGGAUAACCUACCUAUAAGACUGGGAUAACUUCGGGAAACCGGAGCUAAUACCGGAUAAUAUAUUGAACCGCAUGGUUCAAUAGUGAAAGACGGUUUUGCUGUCACUUAUAGAUGGAUCCGCGCCGCAUUAGCUAGUUGGUAAGGUAACGGCUUACCAAGGCAACGAUGCGUAGCCGACCUGAGAGGGUGAUCGGCCACACUGGAACUGAGACACGGUCCAGACUCCUACGGGAGGCAGCAGUAGGGAAUCUUCCGCAAUGGGCGAAAGCCUGACGGAGCAACGCCGCGUGAGUGAUGAAGGUCUUCGGAUCGUAAAACUCUGUUAUUAGGGAAGAACAAAUGUGUAAGUAACUAUGCACGUCUUGACGGUACCUAAUCAGAAAGCCACGGCUAACUACGUG